CUUCAAUAAUUUGUCUUUUGACCAAUCAGAUCAGCUCUGAAAAAGAUAUGUUGUGAAAAGAGCCGAUGUGAUUCGUCAAAAGACCAAUUACUGGGAAAAAUAUCAGAAUUUGGCUGCUUGUGUGAAGAGCGAGGAAAUGUAAGAUUGGAUCCCCUCUAGGUCACAGCACCAAUUACACAACACUAUGAAGUCUGAGACCUGGGAUUUAGACUGUAGUUAUUCAGAUUUGCAUAUUUAAACAUAUUUUUGGAAGUUAAACCAGAACUUGCAUAAAGCCAUCCACAGAUAACAUUAUUCCAACUAUUUACUUGUAUUUCUUUUAAUGUUUACCACUCCAGAAACAGCCCCUAUCCCCUACUUACUUGGCAAUUCUGGACAUCUGAAAGGAUUUGAUUGCUACAGUGUAAUAAAUAUGGUGAAAGUCCUACCAAGCCAAUCAGAGGGCAAGGUGGAGCAACUACCAUUUUUUGUUUCUGUCUAUCAUUUCGUGCCUAGGGGCUGUAGGGUUUGGCCCUGUUUUAAUAUUUUAACAAUGCACCCUUCUAUCUUCCUUGAAUAGGCCUACAUUCCUGAUCUGACAUGGCUGGAUUGGUGAAAGCUGUGGUAGAACCAUUGCUUACACCUAUCAAUUUGUGUUAGUUCAGUGAUUACUUCAAGGAAGAGAGGAAGAAAGGAUGCACUUCCAAAGUAUUCAAACAGGGUCUUCUUUUCUGGACUUAACCUGAGACUUUUGGGUUCUUCUUUCACCGCAUUCUCGCUGAGCUGGGGAGUGCAGGAGAGCGAUGGACUAAGAUGUCGGGCCAGAGCAGCGGGGAGAGAGAUCGGCCCGUGGUGACGCGAGGGUGUACCUGGGGUCCGUGUCAGAGGACAGGCCACCUCUUAAGUGGCUGGAGCUUGAGCUGCUGAGACAGGAGAACCGCUGCCACUCUGUAACCCUGGGAGACUAAAUCAAACUGAGGUCACAACUGCUCUACAGUGUUGAUCCCACAUGCAGCCUCAGCAAACUCAAGAUUGAAAAGAGAGUAUCCCUUGAAAGCCUGCCAAAGCUCAAGCUGGCCUUUGAGGAAUUUGAAAUGGGUGUCCUAAGAUCACUGGAUGUGCUCAACUUUGGACUGAUAGUGAAGAAGAGUUUGGGCUUUCACA